UGGAUCAAUGAUGAACAUUGGUUGUGUAUGAUCAUGGGUCAUGAUUACAGGUCUGGAAGUCUGAGGUCCAC
rfam:Neotoma lepida isolate 417 scaffold_46259, whole genome shotgun sequence.